CAGGACGAACGCUGGCGGCGUGCCUAAUACAUGCAAGUCGAGCGAAUCUUGGGAGCUGCUCCCGAAGGUUAGCGGCGGACGGGUGAGUAACACGUGGGCAACCUGCCUAUAAGACUGGGAUAACUUCGGGAAACCGGAGCUAAUACCGGAUAAUUCUUUUCUACACAUGUAGAAAAGCUAAAAGACGGUUUACGCUGUCACUUAUAGAUGGGCCCGCGGCGCAUUAGCUAGUUGGUGAGGUAACGGCUCACCAAGGCCACGAUGCGUAGCCGACCUGAGAGGGUGAUCGGCCACACUGGGACUGAGACACGGCCCAGACUCCUACGGGAGGCAGCAGUAGGGAAUCUUCCGCAAUGGACGAAAGUCUGACGGAGCAAAACCGCCGCGUGAGUGAUAAAGGUUUUCGGAUCGUAAAACUCUGUUGUUAGGGAAGAAUAAGUACGAGAGUAACUGCUCGUACCUUGACGGUACCUAACCAGAAAGCCACGGCUAACUACGUGCCAGCCGCCGC
rnacentral:rRNA from 1 species